rnacentral:lncRNA from 1 species
AAAAAAAAUUAGCCGGGCAUCGUAACACACGCCUGUAAUCCCAGCUACGCAGGAGGCUGAGGCAAGAGAAUCGCUUGAACCCAGGAAGUGGAGGCUGCAGUGAGCCAAGAUCAUACCACGGCACUCCAGACUGGGCAAUAGAGUGAGACUCCAUCUCAAAAAAAAAAAAAUAGACACAAGGGAACGUGCUAAGGCAACUCCUGGUACCAGUACCACUUCUUGGCCUGUUAGGAACCGGGAGGUUCAGCAGGAAGUGAGCAGCGGGCAGGAAGGUGAAGUUUCAUCUGUAUUUACAGCCACUCCCCAUCGCUCGCAUUACCGCCUGAGCUCCGUCUCCUGUCAGAUCAACUGCGCAAACCCUAUUGUGAACCGCGCAUGCGAGGGAUCUAGGUUGUUUGCUCCUUAUGAGAAUCUAAUGCCUGAUGAUCUGCCACUGUCUCUCAUCGCCCCCAGACAGGACCCUCUAGUUGCAGGAAAACAGGCUCAGGGUUCCCACUGAUUCUACAUUAUGAAAGUUGUAGAAUUAUUUCAUUCUAUGUUAUAAUGUAAUAAUAAUAGAAAUAUAAUGCACAAUAAAUGUAAUCUGCUUGAAUCAUCUCAAAACCAUCUCCCCGACCCGGGCCCACGGAGAAAUUAUCUUCCACGAAACUGGUCCCUGGUUCCAAAAAGCUUAGGGACUGCUGUUCUAAGGGGCUAGGGAGGUUCUGUUUCUUGACCUGAGCGGUAGGCACGUGGGUGAGUUCACUUUCAUCCUUUCACAGUCCUGCUUUGCACGUUUUUCUGUCUACAUGCUAUACUCCAAUACACAUCUCAAAAGACAAUUACAUAUGUGUGUGUUAGACAGAAAGAAGGAAGAGGGCAGGGAGAGAAAACCACCGCAUUCAAGCAUCGCCGCCUCUAGGUGUAAGGUUCAUUCCAGGACUGCCUGGAGUUGGUGACUUUGCAUUCCUGCAGAGGAAACCCACUUCCUUUGCCUGUGUUCUCGGGCCGACUUCCCAUAUCUGCUGACCAGAAAUCCUUCCUUGCAGCCGCCCCUGUAACGGGGCUGGCAUUUGCAAUUCGAAAGUGUCUUUGGCCUUGUUUUUCCGAGGAAAUGAAAACGCUAUGCGUUAUCAGCAUAUCAUCCAACAAUUUAUCAUCACGUUGGCACCUGACAAUGUUGAUUUAUGAUUCCAGCAGGAAGAGCAGCCCUCCAACCCCCCACCAGUUCAGAAAUGGAGACAUCGAGGAGUCCUGAGCACAGGCAGGAGAGACUAUGAAGUUAUCGUAGACUCGAUGUCCACAAGUGCCGGUGAGAAUGACUGUGCAGAGACCAUCUGAGCUCCCUGCAGAUCUCACGACUCUUUUCCUCCUCCCCUUGCUCCCGGGUGCUUUGUCUCUCACACUCGGCCCCUGUGGAGCUGUUCUGCCUAUGCAAGCAGAAAUUGAGAGGUGCCUGGGGUUCCUGUCCCCCCAGCCAGCUCUUAGCCAAUGGCGAGCAGAUUCCAGAAAGUGAAAGCCCCGCUCCCUUUGCCUGAGUCUGGACAGACCCUGGGGCAUAACUUACGCUGCAGUGCCUUCCUGCAGGAUUGGGCCAAAGCCACCCCAGGGGGAUUUUGCCAAAGGACCUUACUCUGGCUUGGCUCCUGGGUCCCCUCCUCCUACUCCCUUCCAGACCUCCCGGGACCACGGCAUUCCUACGUGGCUUGCACACAAUUCCUUACCACAGAGUUUGCUUCUGGGGAACCUGACCUAAAACCGAGGGGAAAAUGGAUUCUAGCAUUUUUCAGAUUCAGAAACGGGAGACCCAAAUGGCCCGGGCCUCCCGCCUCCCGCACACAGGCCUGUGUAUCAAGUUUCUGCAAGCACAAGCAAGAGGCUUGCAACGUGUUUGCAAGCAGUCAUCAUCAUUUCCAGGAUUGGCUAUGACUCGGGUUGCAAUGUUUUAUUUCAGUUCACAGACAGACACAGGCCACACUCCAGGGCUCAUGCCCACAUCCGUAGCUUGGAACUCGAGAUGCACUGUCUAGGAUGGCCAACAUCAGGACGGCACCCACCAGCAGACAAGCCUGUUCCCAGAAUAGCCUUCUUUUUUAUUUUUUUGAGACAGGGUCUGGCUUUGUGGCCCAGGCUGGAGUGCAGUGGUGCAAUCAUAGCUCACUGCAGCCUUGACCUCCUGGGCUCAAGUGAUCCUCCCACCUCAGCCCCCCAGCCCCAGUAGCUGGGACCACAGGCAUGC